CAUCAUUCUCUAGACAUAAAUGUCAAUCCGUUCUGGGAUAUUUCGUUUGUAACAGAAGAUCGGGGUCCUAGUGUAUGUAUUGCUUUACUGCAAGACUAACAGCCUGUUCCACGAUCUCGAAAGAAAAUUUGUGCGAACGAAGGCUACUCACUCACUUUCGUAUAAGAAUGCGUUCCACUAACUUUCGUUCUUUCUUUCGCAUAGCCUUACGUGAUUCAGUGUUGCUAAAUAUUUUUUUGGAAAAAUUAAUCGCGAAAUAAGGCAAAAAAAGCGCCAAAUGUCUAAUUUAAACGCGAAAAAGCAGCAGUGGCUCUGUCUCAACUGACAUUUCAGUUGUAAACAAACAAAUUGUAAAUAAACAAACAAAAUAAAAUUUCUAGUGAUUGUGUUCAAACUAUUUGUGCUCUUAGAAAAUAAAAAAAAAAGAAUAUUUCCGUAGCCCUAUUUUUUAUGGAUGAUGUGGAGGAGGUUCAAAAUGUGCCACGGAGGCAUUUAAGAGAUGCUUCGAAUUUAUUUGAAGUACCUAACAACCAGUUUGUGGCCAAUUUUCGUGUGUCGAAGCAAGUUUUCGGGCUCUUUUGGAUAUGAUGGAAGAGAAGUGGGUGCCCGGUUGCAGAACUACCCAAAUCCGCCCCGAUUUAAAACUUCUUCUGCUGCUUCCAAAAAUUGGCACUCCUCUGGCGAACACAGGAUUCUCCUCCAUAUACCCGCAGCUGUGUAGUUGAUGAUUUUUUCGUGCUGGAAUUGAGAAAAUAAAAAAAUAUAUAUUUGUUGUUCACAUAUUAAA